rnacentral:rRNA from 1 species
ACGAAGGGUCCAAGCGUUGUUCGGAAUCAUUGGGCGUAAAGCGCGCGCAGGCGGAUCAGUAAGUCAGGUGUGAAAUCUCGAAGCUCAACUUCGAAAUUGCGCCUGAAACUACUAGUCUAGAGUGUCGGAGGGGGCAGGGGAAUUUCACGUGUAGGGGUAAAAUCCGUAGAGAUGUGAAGGAACACCGGAGGCGAAGGCGCCUGCCUGGACGACUACUGACGCUGAGGCGCGAAAGCGUGGGGAGCAAACAGG